rnacentral:rRNA from 1 species
UGGGGAAUUUUGGACAAUGGGCGAAAGCCUGAUCCAGCCAUGCCGCGUGAGUGAAGAAGGCCUUCGGGUUGUAAAGCUCUUUUAGUCGGAAAGAAAGAGUCGCAAUGAAUAAUUGUGAUUUAUGACGGUACCGACAGAAAAAGCACCGGCUAACUACGUGCCAGCAGCCGCGGUAAUACGUAGGGUGCGAGCGUUAAUCGGAAUUACUGGGCGUAAAGGGUGCGCAGGCGGUUUUGCAAGUCAGAUGUGAAAGCCCCGGGCUUAACCUGGGAAUUGCGUUUGAAGCUACAAGGCUAGAGUGCAGCAGAGGGGAGUGGAAUUCCAUGUGUAGCAGUGAAAUGCGUAGAGAUGUGGAAGAACACCGAUGGCGAAGGCAGCUCCCUGGGUUGACACUGACGCUCAUGCACGAAAGCGUGGGGAGCAAACA